rnacentral:rRNA from 1 species
CCUACGAGUGGCAGCAGUGAGGAAUAUUGGUCAAUGGGCGCGAGCCUGAACCAGCCAAGUAGCGUGAAGGAUGACUGCCCUAUGGGUUGUAAACUUCUUUUAUAAGGGAAUAAAGUGAGGCACGUGUGCCUUUUUGUAUGUACCUUAUGAAUAAGGAUCGGCUAACUCCGUGCCAGCAGCCGCGGUAAUACGGAGGAUCCGAGCGUUAUCCGGAUUUAUUGGGUUUAAAGGGAGCGUAGAUGGGUUGUUAAGUCAGUUGUGAAAGUUUGCGGCUCAACCGUAAAAUUGCAAUUGAUACUGGCAGUCUUGAGUACAGUUGAGGUAGGCGGAAUUCGUGGUGUAGCGGUGAAAUGCUUAGAUAGCACGAAGAACUCCGAUUGCGAAGGCAGCUUACUAAACUGCCACUGACAUUGAGGCUCGAAAGUGUGGGUAUCAAACAGGAUUAGAUACCCCAGUAGUC